AGCAGCUGGCUCCUGUGAGUUCCCAGUACCACCGUGCGGGACUGUGCCGUGGCUGGGAACCCCCUGCACUGCAGGGAGCGCCUGGCAGAAGGAAACGGAGCCCCAGGGGAUCCCAGCUCCUCCAGGAAUGGGACAGGUUUGCCUCUCCAGGCCCCUCGGAUCUGAAAGGGCCGGCUCAGCCUGGGUGCUGUAGGGCGCUCGAGGUCAGCGCAGCUCCCGAUUACAGGCCCGGGACUCAGAGAAGAUUUGAUCAGACGCACGUCAUGGUACCGCGUGGACUCCGUGUUGUUCUGCGUAAGAACAUGCCAGAUCAUAUGCACUACACCGCAUGGGAGUCUUCUAUCUAUUGGAUCAGCGUUUGUGGAGCUCCCAUUAAGACGAAACCCCAGGCUGCUGCCAGGAAAAGCUCAGCGCAGUCGGACCUGAUGCCAGCGAGGCCAGGCCCCAACCUGCCUCACUAAC